rnacentral:rRNA from 1 species
UACGAAGGGGGCUAGCGUUGCUCGGAUUGACUGGGCGUAAAGGGCGCGUAGGCGGCUUGUACAGUCAGACGUGAAAUUCCUGGGCUCAACCUGGGGGCUGCGUUUGAUACGUGCGAGCUUGAGUUCGGAAGAGGGUCGUGGAAUUCCCAGUGUAGAGGUGAAAUUCGUAGAUAUUGGGAAGAACACCGGUGGCGAAGGCGGCGACCUGGUCCGAUACUGACGCUGAGGCGCGAAAGCGUGGGGAGCAAACAGG